rnacentral:rRNA from 1 species
UACAGAGGUCCCAAGCGUUGUUCGGAUUCACUGGGCGUAAAGGGUGCGUAGGUGGCGAGGUAAGUCGGAUGUGAAAGCUCGGAGCUCAACUCCGAAAUGGCAUUGGAAACUACCUUGCUCGAGGGUUGGAGGGGGGACUGGAAUUCUCGGUGUAGCAGUGAAAUGCGUAGAUAUCGAGAGGAACACCAGUGGCGAAGGCGAGUCCCUGGACAACUCCUGACACUGAGGCGCGACAGCGUGGGGAGCAAACAGG